GGUCUGUUGGUGAAGUGAACGAACACACAUGCCUUUCACGCAUGCAUUCACGGGUUUGAAUCCCGUACAGAUCGCCA
rnacentral:tRNA from 5 species